AACCCAUGGUGAGGGCAUCUUCUCAAUAAAUCCUUAUACCUCUCCUAUGCACCAUAUAGAAUCUCUAAAUCCAUUUGCACGAAGGAAGAGAUAUCACUCAUCAGCUU
rnacentral:snoRNA from 1 species